GACGAACGCUGGCGGCGUGCUUAACACAUGCAAGUCGAACGGAAAGGCCCUGCUUUUGUGGUCUGCUCGAGUGGCGAACGUGUGAGUAACACGUGAUUAACCUGCCCUUGACUUUGGGAUAACUUCAGGAAACUGGUGCUAAUACCUGAUAGGAGCUCCUGCUGCAUGGUGUGGGUUGGAAAGUUUCGGCGGGUGGGGAUGGACGCGCGGCUUAUCAGCUUGUUGGUGGUGUAGUGGCUUACCAAGGCUUUGACGGGUAGCCGGCCUGAGAGGGUGACCGGCCACAUUGGGACUGAGAUACGGCCCAGACUCCUACGGGAGGCAGCAGUGGGGAAUAUUGCACAAUGGGCGGAAGCCUGAUGCAGCAACGCCGCGUGCGGGAUGACGGCCUUCGGGUUGUAAACCGCUUUCGCCUGUGACGAAGCGUGAGUGACGGUAAUGGGUAAAGAAGCACCGGCUAACUACGUG
rnacentral:rRNA from 1 species